rnacentral:rRNA from 1 species
AGAGUUUGAUCAUGGCUCAGGACGAACGCUGGCGGCGUGCCUAAUACAUGCAAGUCGAGCGGAUGACGGGGAGCUUGCUCCCCUGAUUCAGCGGCGGACGGGUGAGUAACACGUGGGCAACCUGCCUGUAAGAUCGGGAUAACUCCGGGAAACCGGGGCUAAUACCGGAUGGAUCCUUCCUCCGCAUGGAGGAAGGCGGAAAGACGGUUUCGGCUGUCACUUACAGAUGGGCCCGCGGCGCAUUAGCUAGUUGGUGGGGUAAUGGCCCACCAAGGCAACGAUGCGUAGCCGACCUGAGAGGGUGAUCGGCCACACUGGGACUGAGACACGGCCCAGACUCCUACGGGAGGCAGCAGUAGGGAAUCUUCCGCAAUGGACGAAAGUCUGACGGAGCAACGCCGCGUGAGUGAAGAAGGCCUUCGGGUCGUAAAGCUCUGUUGUAAGGGAAGAACAAGCGCCGGUUAACUGCCGGCGCCCUGACGGUACCUUACCAGAAAGCCACGGCUAACUACGUGCCAGCAGCCGCGGCAAUACGUAGGUGGCAAGCGUUGUCCGGAAUCAUUGGGCGUAAAGCGCGCGCAGGCGGUUUCUUAAGUCUGAUGUGAAAGCCCACGGCUCAACCGUGGAGGGUCAUUGGAAACUGGGGAACUUGAGUGCAGAAGAGGAAAGCGGAAUUCCACGUGUAGCGGUGAAAUGCGUAGAGAUGUGGAGGAACACCAGUGGCGAAGGCGGCUUUCUGGUCUGUAACUGACGCUGAGGCGCGAAAGCGUGGGGAGCAAACAGGAUUAGAUACCCUGGUAGUCCACGCCGUAAACGAUGAGUGCUAAGUGUUAGGGGGUUUCCGCCUCUUAGUGCUGCAGCUAACGCAUUAAGCACUCCGCCUGGGGGAGUACGGCCGCAAGGCUGAAAACUCAAAGGAAUUGACGGGGACCCGCACAAGCGGUGGAGCCAUGUGGUUUAAUUCGAAGCAACGCGAAGAACCUUACCGGUACCUUACCAGAAAGCCACGGCUAACUACGUGCCAGCAGCCGCGGCAAUACGUAGGUGGCAAGCGUUGUCCGGAAUCAUUGGGCGUAAAGC